rnacentral:rRNA from 1 species
CAAUAGCGUAUAUUAAAGUUGUUGCAGUUAAAAAGCUCGUAGUUGGAUUUCUGGUGGGAGCGAUCGGUCUGGCGCUUAGCGCGAGUACUUGCAUCGUCUCCGGCCAUCCUUGGGGAGAGUCUGUCUGGCAUUAGGUUGUCGGGCAGAGGAUCCUCAUCGUUUACUGUGAAAAAAUUAGAGUGUUCAAAGCAGGCUUAUGCCGUUGAUUAUAUUAGCAUGGAAUAAUAAGAUAGGACUUUGGUACUAUUUUGUUGGUUUGCGCACCAAAGUAAUGAUUAAUAGGGACAGUUGGGGGUAUUCGUAUUCCGUUGUCAGAGGUGAAAUUCUUGGAUUUACGGAAGACGAACUACUGCGAAAGCAUUUACCAAGGAUGUUUUCAUUAA